rnacentral:rRNA from 1 species
UACGGAGGGGGCGAGUGUUGUUCGGAAUUACUGGGCGUAAAGGGCGCGCAGGCGGCUUGGCAAGUCAAGUGUGAAAGCCCUCAGCUUAACUGAGGAAUGGCGCUUGAAACUACCUCGCUAGAGGGUGGGAGAGGGAAGUGGAACUCUCGGUGUAGGGGUGAAAUCUGUAGAUAUCGAGAGGAACACCGGUGGCGAAGGCGGCUUCCUGGCCCACAUCUGACGCUGAGGCGCAAAAGCGUGGGGAGCAAACAGG